rnacentral:piRNA from 1 species
UCCAGAAUUGGGGAGAAAGUGGAGAAAGG